rnacentral:rRNA from 1 species
AGCGAACGCUGGCGGCAGGCUUAACACAUGCAAGUCGAGCGGGCCUUUCGGGGUCAGCGGCGGACGGGUGAGUAACGCGUGGGAACGUGCCCUCUGGUUCGGAAUAACUCAGGGAAACUUGAGCUAAUACCGGAUACGCCCUUUUGGGGAAAGGCUUGCUGCCGGAGGAUCGGCCCGCGUCUGAUUAGCUAGUUGGUGAGGUAACGGCUCACCAAGGCGACGAUCAGUAGCUGGUCUGAGAGGAUGAUCAGCGACACUGGGACUGAGACACGGCCCAGACUCCUACGGGAGGCAGCAGUGGGGAAUAUUGGACAAUGGGCGCAAGCCUGAUCCAGCCAUGCCGCGUGAGUGAUGAAGGCCUUAGGGUUGUAAAGCUCUUUUAUCCGGGACGAUAAUGACGGUACCGGAGGAAUAAGCCCCGGCUAACUUCGUG